rnacentral:rRNA from 1 species
AGAACGAACGCUGGCGGCAUGCCUAAUACAUGCAAGUCGAACGAACUCUUCGGAGUUAGUGGCGCACGGGUGCGUAACGCGUGGGAAUCUGCCCUUGGGUUCGGAAUAACAGUUGGAAACGACUGCUAAUACCGGAUGAUGACGAAAGUCCAAAGAUUUAUCGCCCAGGGAUGAGCCCGCGUAGGAUUAGCUAGUUGGUGAGGUAAGGCUCACCAAGGCGACGAUCCUUAGCUGGUCUGAGAGGAUGAUCAGCCACACUGGGACUGAGACGACGGCCCAG